GUUUUAGUCCAGUAUUUCCUCACUAUGCUCCAUUCCCUAUGUUUUGGAAUGAUAAUAUAUAUCCUGUGCAUAUGUUGGAAGUAUCUGAUACACUUUUUGCUUUUGAUUUUACAGGAGAUUAUAGUUAAGAGAUUGCAUGAAUCUCAGAAAAGACUUUGAACUUUGGACUUUAAAACACUGUAGAGAAUGUGAGAAACUAUGGGAACUUUUGAAGUUGGUCUGAGUGCAUUUUUGCAUUAUGACAUGGCUACAAGCCUUUAGGGGCCAGGCAGUGGAAUGUAGUGGUUUGAAAGGAAAUGGUCCCCAAAGGGAGUGUACUAUUAGGAGGUGUGGCCCUGUUGGAAUAGGUGUGGUCUUGUUGGAGGAAGUGUGUCACUGUGGAGGUGGGCUUUGAGGUCUCAUAUAUGCUCAAGAUACUGCCCAGUGUCUCAGACCACUUCUUGUUACCUGCAAGAUGUAGGACUCUCAGCACCAUGUCUGCCUGCACACCACCAUGUCCCAACAUGAAGAUAAUGGACUAAACCUGUUAAGUGCAAGAGAGCUACCCUAAUGAAAUGUUUUCCUUUGUAAGAGUUGUCCUGGUCAUGGUGUCUCUUCACAGCAAUAGAAACCCUAACUAGGACAGGUAUGUCCCUUGUAUCCCUACUCUCUCCAAGACUUUUAUAAGAUGCCUUUCUUAUUCUUCAGUUCUGGAUAUUUGAUUCCAUUUGUUUCUUAUCAUUCUCCCCUCAUUUAUUUUUCAUUUUGUGCCUCUGUAUUUCUGUGUUGUGCAUAUGUGUGUAUACUUUGCAUAUUUGUGGGCACACAGGUGUGCAUAUAAGUUACCUGAGGUUGAUGUCUAGAUUCAUCCUUCAUUGCUCUUCUACCUUACUCACAGAGAUCUGGUUUUGCAAUCAAACUCAGCACUCACGGAUAUGACUUAUCUUCCCAGCCAGUGUGCUCUAGGAUCCUAGAUCUCUACCUUCUGAGGCUAGAAUUGCAGGCAAGCAUAAUUACCUACCUGCAUUUACAUCCAUUCUCCUCAUACUUUCACGGUAAGCAUCCACUGAGCCAUAACCCUUUCCCACACCUGCCAAUCUGUUACUAAACAUAGACUAGGAUAUUGGGGACUUAGGAACAACUUAUAGGCACCUUUGUGUAUAUGGCUGGAGCACAAAUCUAGGCAGGAGUCAUUAUGAAUUAUUAAUGUUCAGGCAGAAAAUUGCCAUUCUUAAAUGUCCGUGUGAUGACAGUCUUGAUCUGAGAUCUCACUGUGCUUGUUAGUUAGGUUUCAAGAUUUCUUUAGAAGGCAACCAUUGAUUUUAAACCAAGGCUGGGAGUUUCAUGCUAAUCCUGUGUGCCAUGUGGAUCUGUGUGUGCUUCUAUACAAAGAGCCUUCCGUGUUCCACUGCUGCCGAAACUGCUUCACCAGAAAAACCACACGUGAUCCUUGUUUAAAAUCCAGAUUUUUGGGGGUGGGGUUUUACUGUCACACUCAUUGAGCCCGGAUGUGUUUAAGGAGAACCCCAGUUUAUCCUUAAAAUCUGCCGAGAUUGGUAACACAGUCUUCCGUCAUCUGCCUGUUCCCACCCCCUGUCUGGGGCUUUGCUUCUUGAGUCUCUCUGGCUGGACAAAUAGGAACAUGCUAGUCUUUAUGCGAUCAGUCUCCAUCUGAAAACAUGGAGGGUUCCACUCUUUUUGCUUAUUAAUAUGAAAGUUUCCACCUGCUUCUCAAGUUCCAGAAAGCCAUCAGACUCUCUGACUCCCUGUUCUUGGUACUUUUAUGAGUUCUUCCCUUUGUACUUAUUUACUAUUCCCCCCACAAUGGUCUUUAUAAAGAGAUAAGGUAAACAUGUAUACUUGAAAUACUCCCUUGAAUCAAACCUCAAUAAUCACGCUUUGAAAAACUCUCCUGAGCUAGGCAAUUGGAAAUGUGCAACAUGACAGAUUGGAUAUGGGGAUAAGGGAGAUAGGGCAGUCUUGGGUAAUCCUCAACUGACUGGCCUUAUAAAUUGGGCAAAUUUUUAUGUGUUGCACUGAGGAGAAGAAAUGAAAAGGAAGAAACUGUUUUGCUAGGUAAAGAUAAUGCAUUUAGUUUUUUACAUGUCCAGUUUAUAUGAAAGCCAAAGGAAGAGCUCUGGUCAGGAAGCAUCCCUCUGUGAGCCAUUCAAUCACUGAUUCAUUCAUCAAAUUGCUUUUAUGAAGCACCUUUUAAAUGUGUGUCAGGACACGGAAAUGGAAAUAUCUUAUGGAGGACAGAAACAAAUAUCAAGCAGGUAUGAUAAGGCAUGGAGCUUUUACAAUGGGCAUCAGAAGUGACACUUGUUAAAAUGAACUUCCUCCUCUACCGAAUCUGAAAUAGAACACAGUCUGCUCAGGAAUUGUGCUGGGUGGCAGGCAUGUUUCUUCCAUGUCAGCAAAUUCAAAAGAAGAUGUCAUUAUUACCUUUAAGAAGCUUCUGAUCCAGUUGGAAGAAUGCACAUUGACACUAUAAGCAAUGGAAAACUCAUUUAUGGACCACCAGAAGGAGAAAAUGUAUAAAGACUCCACUGGCCUGAAAUAAAGAUGAUGGACCUGAA